CCAUAGUUCUGCAUAGUUGUCCAACAACAGUUUCUUAAAUAUAUAUAAAUGACGAUAUACAUCAAAUAUACUCUUCACCGUAUAUAUAUAUAAACAUUUCCAAAACUUUUUACAUAUAUAUAUAUGAAUAUUUCAUACCAUUACAAAAACAAGAAACAAUAUAAACUUCAGAAUCACAAAUAAGUCACAAUCAUGUCGAAUCCAGGAAGUCAGCUAACUCAACUCGCACCUCGUCUAACUCGGCCUGUGAGUAUGAUCUUUGUGUAUCAAUCUAUAAACAUGCAAAAUAAAUUAGUUAACUCACAAUCCAAACAAACUAAUUAACUCAAGUCUCAACGAAUUAAAUGCUCCCACAAUAAACUGAUCACUGAUUCAAGCAUGCAUAAACAGAAAGUUAAAAGUUCAAAUUUCUCAAACACUAGUACCUAUAAAUUUGAACAGCAAAGACAAGACAUCAAAAUUGCAACUUCUAAAUCCAACCAAUAAAAAUUACUCCCACCUAUAAUACAUAAUCACAUAAAUAUAGUGCCCUUUAUCCCUUAGUGAAUCCUCUGUCAACAAUCCUUGAAAAUGGGAGGGAGAAGAAGCCAAGCUAGCUAAAAGACACGUUUGAUUAAAUUUAUUAACGUCCAUGCAACUAGAACCUUCCUCCAUAACAAUAAGAAAAAAAAACUUGUGUUAUCUUUUUUUUAAGCAAGAUAAGGCAUAAGAUCUCAUUUAUAGAAAACUUUAAUAAACAAUCUCAGGAAAACAAUACAAAAUAUGUUUACCAUCUUUAGAAUUAAAUCCACUGCACUCUUGCUAUCAUCUAGGGCUCCAUCAAUUACCUGCGUCAGUUGAAUUGAUUAUUAGCAACUUCCAAAAAACGCUCUAAACAACAUCUCUCUCCUUAUUCUCACUUUACAAAUUUAGGCGUUUUGAGAUGUAAAAACCAACCAUACAAUUGGAUCUGACAUCUCCUAAUACAUCUCUAUCGAAUAUAAAAUGCUAUUUCUGAGUAUAAAUGGUCCAUAGUUGGAA
rnacentral:lncRNA from 1 species